CCCUUAGAUGUUCUGGGCCGCACGCGCGCUACACUGAUACAUGCAACGAGUUUAUAACCUUGAUCUGACGGUCUGGGUAAUCUUCAAACUGUAUCGUGUUAGGGAUCGAUUCUUGCAAUUUUUAAUCGUAAACGAGGAAUUCCUAGUAAACGCAAGUCAUCAGCUUGCAUUGAUUACGUCCCUGCCCUUUGUACACACCGCCCGUCGCACCUACCGAUUGAAUGGUCCGGUGAAAUCUUCGGAUCUGAGAGAUGUCUGAUUAAUUUCGGACGCCUUUUGGAAAAGUUGUUUAAACCUUACCAUUUAGAGGAAGGUGAAGUCGUAACA
rnacentral:rRNA from 1 species